rnacentral:rRNA from 1 species
UACGUAGGGGGCAAGCGUUGUCCGGAUUUAUUGGGCGUAAAGAGCGUGUAGGCGGCCAUGCAGGUCAGCUGUGAAAACUCGAGGCUCAACCUCGAGACGUCGGUUGAAACCGUAUGGCUAGAGUCCGGAAGGGGAGAGUGGAAUUCCCGGUGUAGCGGUGAAAUGCGCAGAUAUCGGGAAGAACACCUAUGGCGAAGGCAGCUCUCUGGGACGGUACUGACGCUGAGACGCGAAAGCGUGGGGAGCGAACAGG